AUUGAACGCUGGCGGCAGGCCUAACACAUGCAAGUCGAACGAGUGGCGGACGGGUGAGUAAUGUCUGGGAAACUGCCUGAUGGAGGGGGAUAACUACUGGAAACGGUAGCUAAUACCGCAUAACCUCAGAUGUGCCCAGAUGGGAUUAGCUAGUUGGUGGGGUAACGGCUCACCAAGGCGACGAUCCCUAGCUGGUCUGUGAGGAUGACUAGGCACACUGGAACUGAGACACGGUCCAGACUCCUACGGGAGGCAGCAGUGGGGAAUAUUGCAAAAUGGGCGCAAGCCUGAUUCAGCCAUGCCGCGUGUAUGAAGAAGGCCUUCGGGUGGUAAAGUACUUUCAGCGGGGAGGCGUUACCCGCAGAAGAAGCACCGGCUAACUCCGUGCCAGCAGCCGCGGUAAUUC
rnacentral:rRNA from 1 species